GGGAAGCAAUGCAGAAACCGGUCCAAGGAUGUUUUGAAUUCAGGCAGGAGCUGCGGUGGCAGAAGGACCAGGUGGUGGUGAUGUCUUGAGAAGUGACCAGAUUCUGGUGCACUGAAGUGGAUCUGAUGUGAGUUCCUGACAGACUUGUGGGCCAUAAUGAAAAGAGAGAAGUCAAGGACAAUUCCAAAGAUUUUGGCCUGUGGCAAUAAGGAGUGUCACAGAUGCACAGGGUAGACUUUGGAUGUGUUCUACUUGAGGGACCUUUCAUACUUCUGGCAGAAGACAGCCUCAAGAAGAAAUUGGAUCUUUGACUCAAGAGUCGGAGGGAGAUGAGUAGGAGACGAUUGGGAGACAUACAUUAGAGGCAUCGUGGUAGGGAUGGUAUUUAAAGAUAAGAGACUCAGAGAAACUAAUGGGGGGGGGCGUUGCUGACAUUAAAGGAUAGGAGAAUGAAGAGAAAUUUACUUAAUAAAAAAGAAGCUAUAUGCAAGAGCAAAAAUGGAUUCCAGGAAGGUGGGACUGGAUUAGAUGUGGCUGCUGUCUGACCUCCAUCAGCUUUUCUUAGUUCCGAUUUGGAUGAAUGCACAGGGUGACAGCAACAGGCUGGAAAUGGGGUCUGGUUUAGGCACAGAAUCUGUGG
rnacentral:lncRNA from 1 species